rnacentral:rRNA from 1 species
UACAGAGGUGCCAAGCGUUAGGCGGAAUCACUGGGCUUAAAGCGCGUGUAGGUGGAUGGGUAAGUACCUUGUGAAAUCCCACGGCUCAACCGUGGAACUGCUGGGUAUACUGCCUGUCUUGAGGCACUCAGGGGCAGCUGGAACAAAUGGUGGAGCGGUGAAAUGCGUAGAUAUCAUUUGGAACGCCAAAGGCGAAAGCAGGCUGCUGGGAGUGAUCUGACACUGAGACGCGAAAGCCAGGGGAGCAAACGGG